rnacentral:tRNA from 1 species
GGGGCUAUAGCUCAGCUGGGAGAGCGCUAGCGUGGCACGCUAGAGGUCGUCGGUUCGAGCCCGACUAGCUCCACCU